CACGCCAUCUGUUUUCCCUCCACGCGCCCCCAUCACUUCAUCCGAGGGGGGACCAGGAAGGGCUUCCCAGCACAGAUUCACUGGCCCUCCCAUAGGAGAAGGUCAGCCACACUGGUUUGACCCGGUGUCGCAAUUUACACAGUGGAGACCAUCUUCGUCCAUAGCCCCUUCAUGGCGGGGACCUAACAGGAGGUGGUGGCUUCGGACCAGGGUUGGAGCAUCAGCACCGCCCCCCCUGGUGGCCACGCCCCUUCUCAGGCCACGGGAUGGAGCAUCAGCACCGCCCCCCUGGUGGCCACGCCCCCUCCUCCUGGCCCCUUCUCAGGCCACGGGAUGGAGCAUCAGCACCGCCCCCCGGUGGCCACGCCCCCUCCGCCACGCCCCUUCUCAGGCCACCGGAUGGAGCAUCAGCACCGCCCCCCUGGUGGCCACACCCCCUCCGCCAGCCGACUUCCUCAGGCCACAGCCGGGAGGUCCCUCCCCCCCUCCCUCCCUCCUGUGGCCUCAGCCCUGUGGAUACAGGCCAGGCGCCCAGUGUCUGUCCUGGGAGGUCCCAAGUGCGGGACAGUUUUCCCACCACCUGAGCGGUGACUGCUGUUUGAAAUGGGUGGAGGUCAGGUCCUCGGGUGCCCAUCGCUCUCCUGUAGCGUUUGGUCCCAGCCCUUCCCAUGCAGCAUCAUUGCCCACCCUUCAUUGUAGAACGAGCAUUUGCAGACUGGGGUGGCACUUUCGUCGGUCAGAGGAUCCAGCCUUACCCACCGACACCGACGUCUCUGACAGCCGGACCUCCCGUCCCUGACAAGCUGGCCACCUCUGGGGACAGCCGUUCCGUUGCUGGCAGUGCUGUCCAGCCACGUCCUCCGGCCCCUGCCCUGGCCCGGCCCCGCCCGCUGGGACCCCCAGCCCUGCCUUCGCCUGUGAGCAUCCCCGCUGCUCCCUGGUGCCCCCUGCUUUCCUCUCUCAUCCCGCCCACCUCACUGCUCUACAGCUGUCUCCCCCACCCCCCCAUGGACAGUGACACCCCGAAAGCAGGGCCGUGCUGUGUCUUUCCCUAGGUUGGAGUUUGACAUAUAAUCAGCGCCUAAUAAUUGCUAAGGGAGUGACAUCUUUCAUGGUCAGAGUGGAUUUUGCUUUUUCUGAGAGCCAUCUGCCCUGUACCUUCCUGGCUGCGCCCUUAGAGGCUGUGUCUUCCCAAACAAGAACGAGGCUGGCCUCCUGACCCCGAACUACCCCACUGGGCCUCUGCCCCGACCUCUAUACACCUCUUUCUUUACUGCCAAUGGGCCGCGGUGUUCUCCUCUUCCAGAACACCCUUCCCGACCACUCACUGGCUUCCCAAAUGUCGGUGUAACUGGGAGAUGGAUUGUCUGGUGCCCAUACUUCCCCUGUCCUCCCUCUGUCCCAAAGCCCGGAAACACAGGACCCCUGAGAACUGCGUCGACCCUUCGGUGGCCACGCUUCUCCCUCUUCCUUUCUCUCCUUCCUUGGUGUUUUUUGAGCAUCUACUCUAUGCCCCGGUGGGGGUCCCGGAGACACACCCGAUGUCAGUGCCUCUCCCCUGCAAAUUUCGCACCCCACUGUUACGUCCUCGGGGGACCCUGCUCUCAUUCCCACCCAGAUAGAUACCUACAGAGAGACGCCUGGUGGGGGAUCUGAGGACCCCGGCUCUAGAGUCCCGGUUUAGUUGUGUUUGGCUGCGUGACCCAGGCGAGCCACCUGCCUUCUCUCAGCCUCAGGAUCCGUCUCUCCCAAAUGGAUGUUUUGUCGUAAACAGUCUCUAAGGUUUCUUCUGCUUGUUCAGGGCUCAGCGAGCUUGCCUGGUACACGCAGCGGAACCCAGCUCCGUUUACACGCACGUCGCCUCGGCAAACGGGAAACAAAGGCGUGGUGCGGAGAGCUGGCGCUACGGAGAGGUGACACCAAGGACAGCAGGGGGACUGCUGAAUUUGUCAUCUUUGCAUAUCUCCAUGGCGUUGAGCGCCAGCUGGGAACAGAAGUCCUAAAAUACCCAAGCGAGGCCAUCUCUGCAGAAGGAGAGACUCUCAACGGAGCCAGCAAGACUCUCCCUCCUCCAAUUUAUGCAUCCUCAGAAAACUUUUAAGUGGAUUGGUUGAAAUCUUGUUUUCCCCCUAGUGUUCCUGUCUCUCAGUUCUCCCCUUUUAUACUCCAUGGUAUGUGUGAUUUCCAGAAAAAACAAAUCCCAAAUACAAUUAGUAGCUAGGAA